GCCCUCGUAUCCCAAUUGGCAGAGGAAGCGGAUUCAAAACCCGCACAGUGUGAGUUCGAGUCUCACCGAGGGCACCA
rnacentral:tRNA from 1 species